GAUUGGAGUUCAUCCUGCUUUCCUAUGGCGUCUGGCAUGCAUGUGAAGUAGAGGAUCUGUACUUUCAGACCUUCGUGAAGGUUUAAUUCAGAUUAUUUGAGAUUUGACCUUUGAUUUUACUACUAAUCAGGUAAGAAUUUGAUCUUUAUUCAUGUAGAUUGAUAGAAAAAUUUUUAAAUGCAAUCUGGAUCAUACAAAAAGAAACAGUUUUCCUUCCCUUCAACAACCUGAAAGAUUCACAUCCACAGACGAGUCCAAGGUGUGCAAGCUUCAGAGAUCCAUUUAUAGAUUGAAGCAAGCAUCUCAAAGUUGGAAUAUAU
rnacentral:lncRNA from 1 species